UACGAAGGGGGCUAGCGUUGUUCGGAUUUACUGGGCGUAAAGCGCACGUAGGCGGAUUGUUAAGUCAGGGGUGAAAUCCUGGAGCUCAACUCCAGAACUGCCUUUGAUACUGGCGAUCUUGAGUCCGGAAGAGGUGAGUGGAACUCCUAGUGUAGAGGUGGAAUUCGUAGAUAUUAGGAAGAACACCAGUGGCGAAGGCGGCUCACUGGUCCGGUACUGACGCUGAGGUGCGAAAGCGUGGGGAGCAAACAGG
rnacentral:rRNA from 1 species